rnacentral:tRNA from 1 species
GCCCGGGUGGUGGAAUUGGUAGACACGCAGGUCUCAGAAGCCUGUGCCUAACCGCAUGCGAGUUCGAGUCUCGCCUCGGGCACCA